AGCGACGCCGCGUGAGCGAUGAAGCCUUCGGGGUGUAAAGCUCUUCGGCAGGGACGAUAAUGACGGUACCUGCAGAAGCAGCUGCGGCUAACUACGUGCCAGCAGCCGCGGUAAUACGUAGGCAGCGAGCGUUGUUCGGAGUUACUGGGCGUAAAGGGUGCGUAGGCGGCCGAUUAAGUUUGUCGUGAAAUCUCCCGGCUCAACUGGGAGGGUGCGGCGAGUACUGACCGGCUAGAGUGUGGGAGAGGAGAGUGGAAUUCCUGGUGUAGCGGUGAAAUGCGUAGAUAUCAGGAGGAACACCGGCGGUGUAGACGGCUCUCUGGACCAUAACUGACGCUGAGGCACGAAAGCGUGGGUAGCAAACAGGAUUAGAUACCCUGGUAGUCCACGCCCUAAACGAUGCACAUUUGGUGUGGGCAGUUCAUUCUGUCCGUGCCGGAGCUAACGCGUUAAAUGUGCCGCCUGGGGAGUACAGUCGCAAGGCUG
rnacentral:rRNA from 1 species